GACGAACGCUGGCGGCGUGCUUAACACAUGCAAGUCGAACGGAAAGGCCCUGCUUUUGUGGGGUGCUCGAGUGGCGAACGGGUGAGUAACACGUGAGUAACCUGCCCUUGACUUUGGGAUAACUUCAGGAAACUGGGGCUAAUACCGGAUAGGAGCUCCUGCUGCAUGGUGGGGGUUGGAAAGUUUCGGCGGUUGGGGAUGGACUCGCGGCUUAUCAGCUUGUUGGUGGGGUAGUGGCUUACCAAGGCUUUGACGGGUAGCCGGCCUGAGAGGGUGACCGGCCACAUUGGGACUGAGAUACGGCCCAGACUCCUACGGGAGGCAGGAGUGGGGAAUAGUGCACAGUGGGCGGAAGCCUGAUGCAGCAACGCCGCGUGCGGGAUGACGGCCUUCGGGUUGUAAACCGCUUUCGCCUGUGACGAAGCGUGAGUGACGGUAAUGGGUAAAGAAGCACCGGCUAACUACGU
rnacentral:rRNA from 1 species